rnacentral:lncRNA from 1 species
UUGAAGGUAGGUGCCGUGGUAGGUUUCAUCGACCUGUUUUUAAUAAAUACGUAGGAAACUUGCCUCAGAGACUUUAUUGCAGAUUCCACUCUUCUUUGAGUCUCUGGGAGGAUUUUAUUUUAUGAGUUUUUCAAAUAGGCGUCUAUCGAUUGGACUACCCUGAUACUCUGUUGCACACAAGGGAAGCUUUGGAGCCGAUCCUAGCACGUUAAGGAUGGGGGAGAAACAUGCUCCCGAGAUUGCAGCCACUGAAGUUCUAAAACUAAGAAACACAAAGCCUCAAUCCAAGACUCUCCCUCCAUAUUCAUCUUGGCAGCAAUAGAUGUCUUAAGUGUUCGGAUAAUACGACGUUGUAAAUAAAUUGUAUGACCCAAGGACUUGUUGAAAACUUCUCCAAAACGUUCCCGUAAAUUAAGCACCGCUACAUGAAUGGACUAAAUUUGGCACCCCAAAGCUCAAAACCCAGCUUGCAAAUGUGUUUACGAUUGUCUUAGCCCUACUUUCAAUCACUAGAAGUGCCUCAAUCCACCUAUAUACCCUGCCGGUAUAUUCAGGAGGAAUCGGAAGCCUUAAGCACGAGGAAACGGUCCAACGAUGUAGACGUGCAUUGCACUGUCGACUCGGGUCCUAUGAGUCUGGCAUGAAGUCCGGGCUUGUUCUUUCAGCAUGACAAACAAAAAAAAUUAGUUAUAAUUUAUACAUAUGACAUCUUCUUUUGUUGUCCCUGGGUUCUCGAGAGGAGGAUAAUUUCGAUUCCCUUCAAAUGAAGGUAUAUGUCUUAAAUAGUGGAUUGUUCUGAGACGAAAAGACGAUAAUGGUUCACUCUGGAGGCCAUCACCAUACUCUGUAUUAUGUGAAAAAACAAUUCCACCAUGAAGAUUUUCGAGUGCCAAGGCAAGCUCUAGUUUAGAUGGGAGGAAAAGCAUAUCAGCAUUUGAAACCCCCCCAUUUCUUUUUCCUUGGUCACAAGUAAGAACAAAUCCAGUUGUGGGAAAUUUUUUCGAUUGAUCAACAUUUAAAACGGGGAAAGUUUAAGAAUGGUAACAUAAUUAAUAUCGAUGACAACAGCAUGACUCCUAAUCAAUACUUGGAUGUGUUAGUGGAGGAGGUAUAGACUUAGAACAUCAUCGAGUGUAUUUUAACUCGAACAAAAGACGAAGUUGACCAAUCAGAUCCGUUGACUAUGAAGGAUCAAUAUGUUCUAACAACCUUGGAACAAAAAAGAACUAAUACGACCCAUGUUCUCGAUCCAACACAACAACUUUAUUCAUAUUUUUUAAAAGGAAUAUUUAUUCUUGUAUAAAAUAUUCAUGACCUAUCCAUAGAAUAGUGUGAAUUUGACAGUAUACAAUCCAUUUUAUUUAAGCUACUACACAGGACUGAGUAAUUAUUCCCUUCAAAUGUAUGUAUUUUUCUCUUGGACAGGCUUUUGAUAAUCUAAACUAUAAAAAUGAGUCCUUAACUCAAAGAGGAUGAGUUAUUCCACACAUUGAUGAAGUUACGUUAAAACAAGGAUGAUAUUGAGAUUGACAUUAUGUUUAAAAUGCACCGUACAUCAGUCGGAAAAGUCUUUAGAACAUGGCUGAACUAAAUGUAUUAUCAAUUUAAAGAAAUUGAUCUGUUCUUGCUCAAUGACAUUAUAGACCUUCUCAUGACAGAGGACUUUAAGUCGAAAUUCCCAAAUACGAGAAUGAUCUUGGAUGCCACUGAGAUCAAAUAAAAAAACCAAGUAAUGUUGCAGAUCAUAGAGCAACUAGGAGUUCCUAUAAGAACAGUACUACGGUAAAAGUUAUGGAAGGAAUUAUUCAAAGAAGUGUAGUCACCUACAUAUCACCAGCGUAUGGUGGCUCCUUUAAUGAUCGCCAAAUAAUCGAAAUAUCAGGCCUAUCAAAGAAAAAACGACUAAAUUCAGGAUUAUGGUGCAGGACUUAUUUGCCAAAUAAAAUUUUAAAGUGAAUACUCCAACUUCUAUGAGAGGGAUUAAUCAACUUCCGGGAGCAACAGUCAUUAAUGACAGAAAAAUUGCUUCUAAAAUAAUACAUGUUGGGAUGAUCAUUGGACUGGCAAAGACAUAUGUAGUCCUUCAAGGGAACUCGACCGCCAUAAAACUCCCUUGACAGGGGGGAUUAUUUCACCUCGAUGAUUGAGUCUUCUUCCACAAGCCCAUCGGGAGAUACAGCCAAAAAGGGUUAUUCUGAAUCAAUGAAAAGUCCACAUUAUUUAACAUUUUUUAUUGUUAAUUGUGUAAACUUUUUUAUACCAGAAGACUCAUGCGCCUUCCCAUGGGGAAUAUCAGCAGAUACAAUUUUUUUGGCUGAUAUAUUAAUUCUGCUGGUUUGGUAAAGCCUCGCACAUGAUAUGACUUACAUAUGUCAUCAAAUCUAGAGGCAGUCAAUCUCCAUUUCCGUUCUAUUUUCCAUGCCGGAGACGAUGCUUGUAAUCGAGUAUUCUUCUCAAUUCUUAUUAUAUCCUGAUCAGGUACCUUGACACAGUCCUCACCUAAUAAUUAAGAGUAAAGGGCUGUGCCAAAUAAUCGUGAUUGAGAAUGGCUAUUUUUAGACUUAUAGAGCCAAAGCUAUAUUUUUAUGCAGUAUAUAAUUUAGAAUUCAAGGUCGUCAUUUUGAACUCAUCAACAAAUUCAGGUCUGUUGCGGAAACGCUCCGGUCGAGGAUAUUUACAGGUCCCACGUGGAUAUUCACUAUGACUAUGAACGACCUCUCCUGAUUUUGCAUUG